GAUGAACGCUGGCGGCGUGCCUAAUACAUGCAAGUCGAGCGAACAGAUAAGGAGCUUGCUCCUUUGACGUUAGCGGCGGACGGGUGAGUAACACGUGGGUAACCUACCUAUAAGACUGGGAUAACUUCGGGAAACCGGAGCUAAUACCGGAUAACAUUUGGAACCGCAUGGUUCUAAAGUGAAAGAUGGUUUUGCUAUCACUUAUAGAUGGACCCGCGCCGUAUUAGCUAGUUGGUAAGGUAACGGCUUACCAAGGCGACGAUACGUAGCCGACCUGAGAGGGCGAUCGGCCACACUGGAACUGAGACACGGUCCAGACUCCUACGGGAGGCAGCAGUAGGGAAUCUUCCGCAAUGGGCGAAAGCCUGACGGAGCAACGCCGCGUGAGUGAUGAAGGGUUUCGGCUCGUAAAACUCUGUUAUUAGGGAAGAACAAAUGUGUAAGUAACUGUGCACGUCUUGACGGUACCUAAUCAGAAAGCCACGGCUAACUACGUG
rnacentral:rRNA from 1 species